AUGACUUUUAGUCCGUUUCUCGCAGCACUGAUCUUUGCAGCAUUGAACCGUUCGCCAGAAAAGCCUUUUGAAAUAUUAGGAUCCUUUGCAAUAGUCACUGUUUCCAGACCCAACAUGUCUCAAACAGAAGAUCCAAAGGGACAAGAAGUUGACCCCUACGCUCUUCCCUGGGAUGAGCCACUAGACCCUUACCUCUCCUCUCUUCCUUGGGGUGACCGAGUAGAAAUAGAGGAAACGUGCUUGGAAGAAAUGGAGGAUGAAACGCUCACGGAUCAGCCCUGGGAUCAGCCACUAGACCCUUACCUCUCCUCUCUUCCUUGGGGUGACCAAGUAGAAAUAGAGGAAACGUGCUUGGAAGAAAUGGAGGAUGAAACGCUCACGGACACAGAGAAGGUUAAGUUAUUGAUGGAGGAAAAUGAAAGAAACAGGGCUGAAUUAAUAAAGUUGUCCUACCAGCUUCUAGAAAAGGAAGCUAUUAUUGAGGAGAAACAACAGGAUCUCCGGGACAUGGACAAAAAGAACCAGGAGCUUCAAGGAAAGCUUGAUCAAGCUCUGCAACAAAAUAAAAAACUCCUCCAAGAGAAGAAACAUGAGGACAUGAAGAAGAGAGGGAUGGACCGCAAUCUCCGAGACUUGGAGUUAAUGUACAGUGUAGACAAAAAAAGGCUUGGUGACACACUGCAAGCAAAUGAAAAGCUUCUUCAAGAGAAAAGGCAACAGGAGAUCAAACAAAAAGAAAUGGAUCGCAAGCUUCAGAGCAUCAAGCAACACAAUGAAAGCUUGCAAGGAAAGCUUGAUCAAGCUCUGCAACAAAAUAAAAAACUCCUCCAAGAGAAGAAACAAGAGAGCAUGAAGAAGAGAGGGAUGGACUGCAAUCUCAGAGACAUGGAGCUAAUUUACAGUGUUGACAAAAAAAGGCUUGAUGACACACUGCAAGCAAAUGAGAAGCUUCUUCAAGAGAAAAUGCAACAAGAGCUCAAACAAAAAGAAAUGGAUUGCAAGCUUCAGAGCAUCGAGCAGCACAAUGAAAGCUUGCAAGGAAAGCUUGAUGAAGCUCUGCGACAAAAUAAAGAAAUCCUCCAAGAGAAAAAGCAGCUGGACAGAAAGCAGGGAGACAUGGAGUGCCAACUCCAGCACAUGGAGGGAAAAGACAGGAUGCUGCAGGUAAAGUUCGAUGAGACACUGCAGAAAUAUCAAGAGCUGCAAGAACUUCAUAACAAAAUGAAGUACAAAGUAACUGAGCUGGAAGGAGAAAAUGAAAAACUGCAAAAACAGGAGGCGACAUCUAAAGUACUGAAAGAAAGGUUGGAAGAAAAACAAGCCAAAAUAGAAGAAGUGGAGAAAAAAUGCAAUAAACUGGAGCAGCAAAAUACAGAAACAAUCGAGGAGUUGAAAAUCCUCAUCCUCGAGAAAAAAGUGCUCAUAGAAAAGCAGCUGGAGAAGAAGAAAAGACGCUUCUUCCGCUUCUUCCGGAGGAGGGACACUCCUUUCACUGCUGCCGAUGUCACCUAG
ensembl:lncRNA